CGGAUCUCAUCUCUUUCAUGCUUUUCCGUUAGGCCGGUUGGUUGCUUACGAAGAUUACGGGGAGAGAGGAGACUGGAUCCGUGAUUAACAGGGAAUUAAGGGAAUGGAUCCUGACCGACACCAAGUUCUCAAAACAAAACGGUUGUUUUCGGCACUUUGCAAUGCCAUCUCGCUUUGUUACUCCUAGACUCCAUGUUGCGAAAUCAUUUCAGUUAGUUCCAUCGCUCCAGCACAUACCAGUCAUUACAGCUUAGUUCUUGAUCGCUGCAGCGUAUACACCAAACUUAGUUCGUCGCCGUGAAAUACAGUUGCCAAAUUAGUUCAAGGAGCUUUGUAAAAUUUUCUGAGAUUUUUGACAGGAGAGAAGAAUCAUGUAUGCUGGCGUUUGAUCAUAGCGAGAUCUUGACAGAUGUAGGUCACAGCUCACAUGUAUUUUUUGGUCCUAAUGAUUCUCUGAUCCCUUUUUGUUUUUGCUGGUCUUAUCGAUCACAGUUUCGCGUGUUUCUCUUAACUGAAAAAAAGGAUCAUCUCAGAUCAGCUUAUCUCUUCGGAUUUUGGUAAUAAAAUGGUAAAUUCAUGAAGAUGGUCAGAGAAGAUUAGCGUGGUUUUUCUGUGCAAAAUAUCGCAUUUCGCUUGGCUAAAUUUUCAUAGCUCGUCUCAGUUCUGCUUGCAUUGUGCACUGCUUCGCUUAGAAACGCACCUGUCUUGGGACAGUUGAGGCGAACAUCUCCAUGAUCAAAAGCCGUUGAUGACACACCCACGUUGAACUAGCACCUGCAAGAGCUAGUAGCAGCUUAGUACAUGCAUGAUCAGCCUACGGUUCCAUGACCAUAAGCCUGCACUGACACUACGGCCGAGUAGAUCAGUUUCACAAAAAGUUGAGUGGCGCACACUAGUGAGUGAGCCAGCUAUUAUACAUCAGAAACGUAGUCCUUUUGGAUUUUCUUAUUUUCCAGGGUAAAAUCAUACUCCCUUUGUUGCUAAAUAUAAGUCUUUUAACAGAUUUCACUAGCGGUCUACAUACGGAGCAAAAUGAAUAAAUCUAUACUCUAAAAUAUGCUAUGUACAUACGUAUAUAGUCCACUAGUGGAACCUUUAGAAAGACUUAUAUUUAGAAACGGAGGGAGUGGAUGGAAUCCACGGUAGGGUUAAGAACACCAGUGACACCAAUCCACGGUAGGAGUACGUACAGCUAGCUAAGCUAAGCUAGCUAUGGCUGGAAAUGUGGAGAGUGCUAGAUAGUGGAGGUGGUAGGCAUGCGAUUCCUGCUUUUUAACCUGUUGAUUAUAGUAGAUGAGUAGCACUGUGUGCCCUACGCAAGCUAAACUAGAAGCUAGCUAGAGCCUCCCUUGCUGCUUUUUUAACGGGCAAGCUUGUUGAUUCCUGCUUGAUUGACAGCAAUUUUGUGUAUAUCAACAACCGGUCCUAAACUACCAUUUUCAUCUACCAGUGGGGUGAUUCCCGCUCAACAUCCUCAUGUACGCACGCCCUUCUUCUAAUCCCAUGGCUCCACUGUCAUUGUUUGUCAGGUUCAGGUUCAGUUAGGAAAGGGGUUAACAAGUUGGCAGGUAACUCCUUUUCAUCAAUGAGAGACGAGAGAAGCAAGGCCAAGGGAAGGUUCGCCUCCCUUGCUGGUUAUACCAGUGCUUAAGUCGUCAUCCUUUAUGGAUCAAUCAUAGGGAGCUCUGUGUCUUGUGUUUUCACCGAGUUGAUUCAGGAGAUGCAAGUAAAAGGUGUACAGAUUCCUUGGUGGGGCUAACGUUCUCCUUGGAAGCAUUCUCAGGUGCAUCCAUAGAGGAGAAGUAUGUUGGCGCGACACGGGUGAAUGGCUAGCUGGAGGAAAUGUAUUUGCUACUAUUUUUGCUAUAUUCCUGUGUAAGGAAAUGUAUCCAUGAGAUGAGAUAUUGUGUUAUGUAAACCUGGGAGAUGUAUUAUGUGA